rnacentral:misc_RNA from 1 species
GCGGCCUUGCUUGGAUUUUCUACGAGUUAUUUCAGUGGGAUUGGAGUACCAUCUUUGCCAUUUUUCUGGUCUGAUUUUGGGAUUUUUCAGAAAAGAAAGAGUGAAAAAAAGCGCAUUCGGGUUUACAUGGAUGGUUGUUUUGAUCUCAUGCAUUUUGGUCAUGCCAAUGCGUUGAGGCAAGCUAAGGCUCUGGGUGAUGAACUGGUGGUGGG